GACGAACGCUGGCGGCGUGCUUAACACAUGCAAGUCGAACGGAAAGGCCCCAGCUUGCUGGAGUACUCGAGUGGCGAACGGGUGAGUAACACGUGGGUAAUCUGCCCCGCACUCUGGGAUAAGCCUGGGAAACUGGGUCUAAUACUGGAUAUGACCUUUCUCCUUAUGGGGUUCGGUGGAAAGUUUUUCGGUGUAGGAUGAGUCCGCGGCCUUUCAGCUUGCUGGUGGGGUGAUGGCCUACCAAGGCGACGACGGGUAGCCGGCCUGGGAGGGUAGGCUGCCACAUUAGGACUGAGAUACGACCCAGACUCCUACGGGAGGCAGCGGUGGGGAAGAUUGCACAGUGGGCGGAAGCCUGAUGCAGCGACGCCACGUGAGGGAUGACGGCCAUCGGGUUGUAAACCUCUAUCAGCAGGGACGAGGCGUUAGUGACGGUACCUGCAGAAGAAGCACCGGCUAACUACGUG
rnacentral:rRNA from 1 species